UAAUAAGAAGCAAAAAAUUGCUUUUAGUUUCGACCUAAAAAUUUGAUGAUUCCUCAUCCUUAUU
rnacentral:tRNA from 1 species